GGGAAAGGGGAAAGGCGAUGGAAAAAAGGGAGAAUACAGGGAAAGGGGACACGACGGGGAAAGGGGACAGGGAAAAGGGGAAAGGGGACAGGGAAAAGGGAAAAGGGGAAAGGGGACAGGGAAAAGGGAAAAGGGGACAGGGAAAAGGGAAAAGACGGGGAAAGGCGACGGGGAAAUGGAACAAGACGUGGAAAGGGGAAAAGGUGGGGAAAGGGGAAACGGAGGGGAAAGGCGACGGGGAAAGGGGAAAAGACAAGGAAAGGCGACAGGGAAAGGGGAAAAUAUGUGGAAAAGGCGACGGGGAAAGGGGAAAAGACGGGGACAAGGGAAAAGAUGGGGAAAGGGGAAAAGACAAGGAAAGGCGACAGGGAAAGGGGAAAAUAUGUGGAAAAGGCGACGGGGAAAGGGGAAAAGACGGGGACAAGGGAAAAGAUGGGGAAGGGGAAAAGACAGGGAAAGGCAACACGACAGGGAAAGGGGAAAGGGGAAAAGACGGGAAAAGGGGAAAAGAUGGGGGAAAGCGACAGGGAAAGGUGAUGGGGAAAGGGGAAAAGACGGGGAAAUGGGGAAAAGAUGGGGAAAGGGGAUAAGAUGGGGAAAGGGGACGGGGAAAGGGGAAAAGAUGGGGAAAGGGGAAAAGAUGGGGAAAGGGGACGGGGAAAGGCGACGGGGAAAGGGGAUAAGACGGAGAAAGGGGACGGGGAAAGGCAACGGGGAAAGGGGAUAAGAUGGAGAAAGGGGAUGGGGAAAGGGGAAAAGACGGGGAAAGGGGAAAAGAUGGGGAAAGGGGACGGGGAAAGGCGACGGGGAAAGGGGAUAAGACGGAGAAAGGGGACGGGGAAAGGUGAAGGGGAAAGGGGAUGGAGAAAGGGGACGGGGAAAGGGGAUAAGACAGAGAAAGGGAACGGGGAAAGUGGAAAAAACAAGGAAAGGCAACGGGAAAAUAGGAAAUGACGGGGAAAGGCGGUGGGGAAAGGCGACACAAUGGGGAAAGCUGACACGACGGGGAAAGGGGAAAGGCGAUGGGGAAAAGGGAAAAGACGGGGAAAGGUGACAAGGAAAGGGGACAAGACGAGGAAAGGCGAGGCGACGGGGAAAGGCGAAGCGUGACAAGCAGUGGGGAAAGGGGAAAGGCCACGGGGAAAGGGGAAGGCGACGGGGAAAGGCGAGGCGCGACGGGGAAUGGCGAGGCGACGGGGAAAGGUGAAAAGACGGGGAAAAGCGACGGGGAAAGGGGAAAAGACGGGGAACGGCGACGGGGAAAGGCGACGGAAAAGGGGAAAAGACGUGAUAAGGUGACAGGCAAAGGGGAAAAGACAAGGAAAGGCGACGCGACGGGAAAAGGCGACGUGACGGGAAAAGGCGACGUGACUGGAAAAGAGGAAAGGUAGCGGGGAAAGGGGAAAAGACGGGGGAAGGCGACAAGAUGGUGAAAGGCGACACAACGGGGCAGGGGGAAAGGCGGCGGGGCAAGGGGAAAAGACGGGGAAAGGGGACACGAGGGGGAAAGGGGAAACGAUGGGGAAAGGCGACGGGGAAUGGGGAAAAAACGGGGAAAGGCAACGGGGAAAGGGGAAAGGGGAAAAGACGGGGAAAGGGGAAAAGAUGGGGAAAGGGGAUGGGGAAAGGCGAGGCGACGGGGAACGGCGAGACGCGACGGGCAAAGCGACGGGGAAAGGGGAAACGAUGGAAAAAGGUGAUGCAACGGGAAAGGCGACGUGACGGGAAAGGCAAGGCGACAGAGAAAGGUGAUGGGGAAAGGGGGAAAUGACGGGGAAAGGGGUAAACGAUGGGGAAAGGCGACGGGCAAAGGGGACACGACGGGCAAAGGGGACACGACGGGCAAAGGGGACAUGACGGGGAAAGGGAAAAGGCGGCGGGGAAAGGGGAAAGGCAGCGAAAAAGGCAAAGGGGAAACAAGAAAAUAUGGAGAAAGGGGAAAAGACAGGGAAAGACGACGGGGAAAGGGGAAAAGACGGGGACAGGCGACGGGGAAAGGGGAAAAGACGGGAAAAGGUGACGGGGAAACAGGAAAAUAUGGGGAAAGGGGAAAAGACGGGGAAAGACGACGGGGAAAGACUACAGGGAAAGGGGUAAAGACGGGGACAGGUGAGGGGGAAAGGGGAAAAUACGGGCAAAGGCGACAGGGAAAGGGGAAAGGGCAAGCGACAGGGAACGGCAAGACGAUGGGGAAAGGGCAAGCGACGGGGAAAGGGGGAAACACUGGGAAAGGCAAUAGGGAAAGUGGAAAAGACGGGGAAAGGGACGAGGAAAG
ensembl:lncRNA